CUUCCUUCCUCCUUACCCUUCUCCCCAAACAAGGUACCGUAAGUUUUCCCACGUGCACACGUGCCAUGACGUGAUGACUAACAGAUAAGAGCAGAAAAAAUUCCCCUAACAAAAGUUCAACCAAAUGGACUGAAAAUUAGAAAAAAUAAAAAUAAAAAUCCCAAAAUCUGAUAACAGUUGUUGUGGCAUCCACAGAACCUUUCAUCUCCAUUUUACCCUGCAGUAUUCCAAAUUCCACCACACAAACGAAACCCAGAUUUUCCUUUAUUUAUUUAUUUUGGUUUAUGAUUUGGAAAUAAGUGUCAAAACUAAAAAAACUAGUUCAUAUAUUUCAAGAAGAAUCAAGCAAAAUAUCCUCUUGGUGUUUUUUCUUUUAAUGAAAUGAAAUGAAUGAGGCCAAACCAAUAAUCAGAAUUGCAGAUGGAAGGCAAUGAGAAAACCACCCAAAAGGAUUACUACAAGAUUUUGGAGGUCGAUUAUGAUGCAACAGAUGAGAAGAUAAGAUUUAAUUAUCUAAAGCUUGCGCUGAAGUGGCAUCCUGACAAGCACCAGGGUGAUAGUGCUGUUACUGCAAAAUUUCAAGAGAUCAAUGAAGCGUAUGGAGUGUUGAGUGAUCCAGCUAAGCGCUCUGACUAUGAUUUUACUGGAAUAUAUGAGAUAGAUAAGUACACGUUGGGGGAAUAUCUUGCUAGAUUUAAAGGAAUGAUACUUACCUGCAAUGGGCUUGGUAUCAGUCAUACAUCAAUGUGGUAGAGAUGAGAGCCAAAAUAAAUGCCAAAAGAAACUUUCAUAUCUGUAUUCAUGGAUCUUUAUAAAAUUGCAGGACGCAUCAACUGACUGAUACCAGUGAAUAUGCAGAUAAAUAAGGAUGGAUGGAGCUAUCGAUGCGCGUAUGCUAUGUUGCAAGAGCAAGUGUAGGAAUAAUUUUUUUUUUUCUGAAUCUGAAGAUGGGGAUGGAGCUGUUUGUAGAAUUAUUAUGCAUACGAAUGUGAAUCCCUUGUCAGUGGUGCGAACUUGUUACGCCAUACAUAACAAUAUGCUCCUCCAUUUUGUAUGUAACAUUUCGUGAACAGCUUAGGUAGAGAUAAUUACACGGCAGUCAUACUUGUCUGAUUUUGUUGCUUUCUUUGUAGUGCGUAUUUCAUGUAUAACCGUUUAUUUGGUUAGCCCUGUGAAUUCUUAUUUUUCCAAAAAAGUAUAUAUGUGUUUGGCUUUUCAUCA